rnacentral:rRNA from 1 species
UACAGAGGUCUCAAGCGUUGUUCGGAUUCAUUGGGCGUAAAGGGUGCGUAGGCGGCGCGGUAAGUCGGGUGUGAAAUCUUGGAGCUUAACUCCGAAACUGCAUUCGAUACUGCCGUGCUUGAGGACUGGAGAGGAGACUGGAAUUCAUGGUGUGGCAGUGAAAUGCGUAGAGAUCAUGAGGAAGACCAGUGGCGAAGGCGGGUCUCUGGACAGUUCCUGACACUGAGCACGAAGGCCAGGGGAGCAAACGGG